rnacentral:rRNA from 1 species
UGGGGAAUAUUGGGCAAUGGAGGAAACUCUGACCCAGCAACGCCGCGUGAAGGAUGAAGGUUUUCGGAUUGUAAACUUCUGUCGCGAGGGACGAAGAAUGACGGUACCUCGUAAGAAAGCCCCGGCAAACUACGUGCCAGCAGCCGCGGUAAUACGUAGGGGGCGAGCGUUGUCCGGAAUGACUGGGCGUAAAGGGAGUGUAGGCGGCUCUUUAAGUUAUAUGUGAAAUCCCGCGGCUUAACCGUGGAAGUGCAUAUAAAACUGGGGAGCUGGAGUGCAGGAGAGGUGAGUGGAAUUCCUAGUGUAGCGGUGGAAUGCGUAGAUAUUAGGAAGAACACCGGUGGCGAAGGCGGCUCACUGGACUGUAACUGACGCUGAGGCUCGAAAGCGUGGGGAGCAAACAGG